UACGUAGGGUGCAAGCGUUAAUCGGAAUUACUGGGCGUAAAGCGUGCGUAGGCGGUUUUGUAAGUCUGUCGUGAAAGCCCCGGGCUCAACCUGGGAAUUGCGAUGGAGACUGCAAGGCUUGAAUCUGGCAGAGGGGGGUAGAAUUCCACGUGUAGCAGUGAAAUGCGUAGAGAUGUGGAGGAACACCGAUGGCGAAGGCGGCCCCCUGGGUCAAGAUUGACGCUCAUGCACGAAAGCGUGGGGAGCAAACAGG
rnacentral:rRNA from 1 species